rnacentral:misc_RNA from 1 species
AGAUUGUAUAAUGUGGCGUGUGGUUCUAAUUCUGAAAAUGAUGGCCUUUGCUUGGUCAUAAAGCAGAUCUGAGCAUCCUGCAUCAUGAAGCCUCUACAUACCUGAGAAAAUAAGCUGUAAUACAUUAGAAGUUGAAGCCAGCCAGCUAGUCACCAGAUCCCACCACAGCUGUCUGCUGAGCCGCUCAGCCACUCCAGCCAUGCUGCCUCCCUCGCCUCCGCCCGGCACAAACGGCACCACCGGCAGCGGCGGGAGGAACAGCAAUGGAGAGCUGCGUCCCCUGCAGGCAGUGCUGGCCGACUCCGCGAACGGUGGUGUCGUGCCCGUGGUCGUGCCGGCAGACGAGGUGGACGCCCUGCCGGAGAAGAUGCAGUACACCUACAAGGACCUGGCAGUGGUGCUGCUGUCCAUCGUCAGUUUCCUGGUGGACACGGGGACGGAUGUGUGGGUGGCGGUGCAUUUCUACAGGACGGAGAGGAUGUACGAGUUCGCGCUGACGCUCGUGUUUAUCCUGGUACCGGCGCUGACCAUGACCGGCUUCAGUCUGCGAUGGUAUCUGAACGACGCGGACCAGGGCGGCGGCGGCGCGGAGCAGACCGAUUGUCCCGGCUCGCCGUCACCGACCCGGCCCCGGGUGCCGAUGUGGAAGUGGAUCCUGCGCAUCAUCUGCCUGACUCUGCAGCUCGGGCCGCUGCUCAGGUAUAUCGAGGCCAUGGUCUACGGCAUCAAGAGCAUGCGCGCCAAGCGGGCGGGCGACCGUGCGGGCCACAUCAAAAACUACAUCUACAUGAUCUACAAGGACGCGGACGCCACACUGUUGCGACUGUUCGAGUCAUUCAUGGAAUCGGCCCCGCAGUUGGUACUUCAGCUGUACAUUUUGGCCAGUGAGCACAAUCGCUUCAAGCCGUCGGAGCCGCUGAACAUCACCCUACAGGUAGCGGCGGUGGGUACCAGCCUGUUCUCCCUGGCCUGGUCUCUGUGCAGCUACCAGCGCUCGCUGCGCUACAGCCUUCCGGCCAAGAACAACCUCUCCACGCCGGCCACCGUGGUGCUCUUCUUCUGGCACCUCUGCAGCAUCGGCUCACGAGUUUUGGCCAUCAGUCUGUGCGCCUCGCUGUUUCCCGUGUACGUGGCCAUCGGACUGGUCGUUCACUGGGUGCUGAUGACCAUCUGGCUCAUCUGCCAAAAGACCCAGGCGUGCUACACUAAGUGCGAGGAGAUGCUGUUUGUUCUCGUCCUGGGCGCCGUCUACAUCUUCACCUUCUUCAACGUCAAGGACCAGACGACGCGGCUCAAGUAUACGCUCUACUACCUGCUCUGUUUUGCCGAGAACACGGCUAUGAUUACCCUGUGGUAUCUGAAUGCCAACCGCACACUCUGGUGGUACCACCCCGGUCUGGCGGCUCAGGUGAUACUGUUUGCUCUCGCCGUAUCGUGUAUGCUAGCCUACUACUGUCGGCUGCACCCGAGCCGCGGCCGAGAGGAACCCUCGGGCAUCUGUGUCACUGGACAGGUGUGCCGUGAUGCUACUCUCGCCCAAAAGUACGGAGCGAGAUUAGAAGAGUGGGCCGGUAACCGCAGUCGCGGGGAGACACCCACGUGUAACAUCCAGCAGCCGGCGGAGGGCGAGGAGCGUCAUGAGACGGAGGACGGAGCGGCGCAGAGACAGUCCCCACCGCCGGCCGUUGUGGUGGCCGGGGUGCCGAUUCACCAGAACGGAAACACGCUAUGACACGGGCGCACGCCGACGCUCUGGGACUCUGAGGAUAAUGCGACGUGACGUGACGUGACGGUUGCGAUGCGUAACGUAAUGUAUUGUGACUGCGGGGCGGCCGUCACGCGGAACGCAUUGUGAAGUGAUAUGACGUGCGAUCACAACGAAAGGACUAAUUCGGCCGCUGGCUUGGCAAUGCGACGGCCAUCCGUAGCUGGCGCUAGUUUCGGUGCAGAAGUUGUCAGCAGAUGUCGCUGGCGAACUCCGUCGACAAGCGCGCUGCUACGGUGGGUGGUAGAACUCUGGACUCCGUCGUGACGGGACGGAGCGGUGCCAGUGGCGGCUGCGGAGUCACGGAAGGGCUUUAACGCGGCGCGUUACACAUACCUCACUGUGAAGUACGUAAGAGUCCGUCCCGUCCCGGCCCGAGGCGGGGGCGGGUGCGGCGGUCGAGACGAUCCCAGUCGUCAGCCUGUCAUGAAUUCAGAUGUAAAUUCAGCUCGCAGAUCGCAUACUUUUGCCGAUGUCGUAUUUGGUUCAUCGCUGCUCCCCCGGGCCGGUUGUCAGGAUUUAGGUAAAUAGGCUAACGUUUAAAAGCUGCACAGUACCUGGGGCUCACAGAUAUUCAUCGAAGCUAUUGGUGCUUUCGAUUCUGCUUUUGCGGAAUUUCUUUACUUAUUAUCGGCGAAGUUGUCUGGCUUGCUUCAAGUUCUCGUCUUCCGGCUGUGCAUUCAGACUCAAUCAAAACAUGCCUGGGCCAUUUGUAUAUUGCUUACACUGCACCACUCCACUUGUUUAAUUAAUGCGAAUUCUUACCAUCAAGGUUCGUCCCGGUAGGGUAUUUGAACAGGGUAUUAUUUCCACCACUUCUGCCAGUUCUCUUUUCACGCUGCCAGUUAGUUAUCCAAAGAUAUAUUUAUUCAAUCCCAUCCACGCAUUUCGUAUUCUCAUUUUUCUUAUAGAUCACCCGUUCCUGUUUUUCGCCUCUAAGCUGUUACGAAGUCUGAUGUGACAGCCUUCCAUCCCAGGGAUGUUAUCUCGCCAGCCCCUUGCAGGUGUGUUCACAAACCCGAGCGGUUGUGCCGCUAUUCACGCGUAGAUCGCGUCGCUUUACCGUUGGAACACGCACGUAUCAGUGUAACUAUGUACCUUUUCUGGUACUACCGCCUUGCUGGGAAAAACUGCACCGCUGUGGUACUAUUUUAUCGUUGUGGAUUACAACUGUACCGCUAGUGUAUCGGUAACUGCAAGGUACACUCGGGGGCAGAUUGAUGUUCCACGACUCCCUACCCAUGGGAUCGCAAGAUGGGUAGGGAGUGGUGGAACAUCAUUCUGCCCCCGAGUGUACCACCAUGGUGCCGCUACAGCGUUUGUGGUGCCCCCAACGCUUUGGUGGUAACUAUCGUACAACUAUGUAUCAAGCAGGUAGCUAUCGUAGCAUGUUCACCGCUUAUGGUACAUACUGCUGUCUACUCUCAGUACACCCCGGUGAUAAAGCAUUCAGUACCUGUCGCGUUGCGCUUGCUGUGCACCCCUCCCCCCAUAUAUCCCCCGACUUGGGGAACGAUAUAGCAAAGCUCCGAUAAACUGGCGUAUCGCCGUUAGCGUAUUUUGGAUGAUCACAAACUAGGUUGGCUAGCAUUCAGAUCUGUAGCGACGGAGAACUAACGCUAGCGAUAAGUUACGGUCAGUUCUCAGUAGUUUUCCUUGCCACGUCACGAGGAUUAGUCUCACGUAUAGUAUGAUAUUGUUUCCACCGGGCAUAUGUGAUAGGUUUAUGUGGCCAACAGAGCGGUUGCUCCGUGUGGUGCUGUUUGGUGUUCGUUUUAUGUGUUCGAAUAUCUGGUUAUUCGUGCAUGUUUUAUGUGUUUCGUAACGCGCACCGAUUGGAUGUUUGGGAACGAGGAGCUGUGAAAGACCGGUUUCGCGAUUGUGGUCGAAACUGCUACUGAUUGAUGUAGUUUCGAUGGGUGUCGGAUGAAAGCGAGUGAGCUGUUUCGAGUUGUAGUAGCCGAUCGCUUUGUGGUGUUUUGUUUAUCGAUAGAUAAACGGGACGGAUGUGUUCUAUGUACAUCGUUCACUCAUGGGCUGGCUGAUAUUGAUCAAACUGAGACCAAACCAUGUAUUUCUGCGGGACGCUUGCAUGAAUAAAUAGUUUGGAAAUAAAA